UACGGAGGGUGCAAGCGUUAAUCGGAAUUACUGGGCGUAAAGCGUGCGCAGGCGGUUCGGAAAGAGAGGUGUGAAAUCCCAGGGCUUAACCUUGGAACUGCACUUCUAACUACCGGGCUAGAGUACGUCAGAGGGGGGUAGAAUUCCACGUGUAGCAGUGAAAUGCGUAGAGAUGUGGAGGAAUACCGAUGGCGAAGGCAGCCCCCUGGGAUGAUACUGACGCUCAUGCACGAAAGCGUGGGGAGCAAACAGG
rnacentral:rRNA from 1 species